CACUAUCACUGCAUAUCAUCGCCAUUACGCAAAUAAGAAUUAUUUUCAUUUAUUCAUACCUUGUGCUAUAUAACAUAGCAAAGGCUAUAUUCGAUGAUUAAUUAACCACAUUGUUGCGAGGGAUACUAUGACGAAUCUACAUCGUCUGAAAACACUCCUGAUUGCCGGUAUUGUCGCGAUACUCGCGCUAUCGCCAGCCUAUGCAAAAGAGAAAUUUAAAGUCAUCACCACGUUUACCGUUAUUGCCGACAUGGCGAAAAACGUGGCGGGCGACGCAGCGGAAGUCAGCUCGAUUACCAAACCCGGCGCUGAAAUCCAUGAGUAUCAGCCAACGCCCGGCGAUAUUAAACGAGCGCAGGGGGCACAG
rnacentral:misc_RNA from 1 species